UACGUAGGUGGCAAGCGUUGUCCGGAUUUAUUGGGUUUAAAGGGUGCGUAGGCGGCCCUGUAAGUCAGUGCUGAAAUAUCCCAGCUUAACUGGGAGGGUGGCAUUGAUACUGCGGGGCUAGAGUACAGAUGAGGUAGGCGGAAUUGACGGUGUAGCGGUGAAAUGCUUAGAUAUCGUCAAGAACACCUAUAGCGAAGGCAGCUUACUAGGCUGUAACUGACGCUGAGGCACGAAAGCGUGGGGAGCGAACAGG
rnacentral:rRNA from 1 species